rnacentral:tRNA from 1 species
GGUAGGUUGGCAGAGAGGUUAUGCAGAGGACUGCAAAUCCUUGUAGGCCGGUUCAAUUCCGACACCUACCUCCA